UACAGGGGUGCAAGCGUUGUUCGGAAUUACUGGGCGUAAAGCGCGGGCAGGUGGCCCUUUAAGUCCUUUGUGAAAUCCCGGAGCUCAACUCCGGAUGUGCAUAGGAUACUGGAGGGCUUGAGACUGGUAGAGGCGAGCGGAAUUCCUGGUGUAGCGGUGGAAUGCGUAGAGAUCCGGAGGAAGACCGGUGGCGAAGGCGGUCUGCUGGCAGUUCUGACACUGAGGCGCGACAGCGUGGGAGCAACAGGG
rnacentral:rRNA from 1 species